rnacentral:rRNA from 1 species
UCUUCGGCAAUGGACGCAAGUCUGACCGAGCAACGCCGCGUGAGUGAAGAAGGUUUUCGGAUCGUAAAACUCUGUUGUAAGAGAAGAACGUUGAUGAGAGUGGAAAGUUCAUCAAGUGACGGUAUCUUACCAGAAAGCCACGGCUAACUACGUGCCAGCAGCCGCGGUAAUACGUAGGUGGCAAGCGUUCUCCGGAUUUAUUGGGCGUAAAGCGAGCGCAGGCGGUUGAUUAAGUUUGAUGUGAAAGCCCCCGGCUCAACCGGGGAGGGUCAUUGGAAACUGGUCAACUUGAGUGCAGAAGAGGAGAGUGGAAUUCCAUGUGUAGCGGUGAAAUGCGUAGAUAUAUGGAGGAACACCAGUGGCGAAGGCGGCUCUCUGGUCUGUAACUGACGCUAGGCUCGAAA